rnacentral:lncRNA from 1 species
UUUUAGCACCAGUAUAUAUUUAUUGUUAGAAGAUAAAGUAGAACUAUUAUACUUCUAUAAGUAUAAAAGAGUUGGUGUUUCUGAUUUUUUGAUUUUUGGAUUAAGAAUUGUAGGGUCGAGAUGAUAGUACUCCCCUCUAAGAUUUAAUGGUCCUUCAAGUAGAAUAAUAUAUUACUCCAAGUAUUAGAAAUUGUCAAAAGCAUUGAUCUAAGGGUUAAAAAAUGAAAGCAUCAUAGUCGAACUCAAUUAUUACCUACACUUAGUGCAUAUAUACAUUUAUUCACCGUUUAUUCAUCAAUUAUCUUUUCCACAAUAUAUUUCAAUCCUACCAUCCAAUAACCUAUAAUUUUUUUCUACACAAAACUUGAUCAUUA